rnacentral:lncRNA from 1 species
CUGAGACACAGAGGCUGGUGGUACCUGCUCCAAGGGGAGAAGAGGUGCCCUUGAGCUCUUCACCCUGCAGUCGGAGCACAGAACCAUGGCAGUGGGAAUGAUGGGGUUGCCCCUUCUGAGACGGAUCCAAAAAUUCUGACCUCCUCUUCCUCAGGGAAACUUGCAACUACAGAGACUCUUCAUCCACAUGGGAGAGGAGUGAGAGGGCAAUGUUAGAUAAAUGCAGAAAUUCCUCUUCUCCUCACGGGAUGCUCCUGGUAAUGGAUAAGACCUCGUGGCUUGGCUUGCCCUCAUCCCUGGAGUCUCCUUUAGGAGGUAAUCUUCGGAGAAGAGAAACAACAGCAUUACUAUAUUCUGCACAGUGCCUUGCACAGUGUAUCCCUGAUGUGACUGGGCUUUUGGGCACAUCAGACCUACAGGUAACUGCAGGACUUUUUGGGGAAAAAAAGAAUGAAGAUGGCAGCACAAUUUCUGACAAGAUUUGGAAAAAAGAUAACAAAAAGCAGGCUGGUGGGUUUAAAUCCCCUGCACAAAUCUCAAAGACUUUCUUGUUUUAUACAAGUCCUUUGUACUUUAUUAUUAUGCUUACUAUGCAAAACCUAUAUAGGUGCAAGUGUAUGUCUUUCUGUGCAUAUGCACUCACAUAUGACCACAUUUGCUUAUUUGCAUAUGUGUAUGAAUACAUGCAGCAUGUGUAG